GCUAAAAGCUAAGUGUACUGUGGCGUAUGUAUUGUUAAACAAGAUUUCGUAAAUCACAAAAAUACUGUACGCGACGCCCAUUGCUGAAAUUAACGCCCGUUGGAAGCUACGACACUUACGGCACCGCAACCUCGCUCUGGCAAAAGGCGACGCCCUAGCGGCCCUAGGAUGAGCACUGCUGAUCGAGCUACCGAGCGUCGGUGGAGCGCCCCAGCCUGCAGAAAGCGAAAUCAAAGAAAUGCCUCGACUCGGUGGAUAUAGCCUUCAUGGCCAACAGUGCGGAGGUGCUCUUUUGCUGCUUCCAGCUGGCUCUGGUCCUUUGCAUACAGUAUCUGCAAAUUACAAGGAACCUGUACCUGUCUGUUGCCGAAGCAUGAUGGGCAGCUAUCCUUGAGCAGUUGGAAGGCAAGGUUGUAGCCCUCCGUGGUUUGAGAGUUGUGCAGCAACACAGCAAUAGGCACGGCACCUGCUUUUGUGGCGGCGCAAGUCAUGGUGGUGCUGCUGCGUCAAGUUUUGCCAGCAAAUGACCUUCUGCAAGUGUCGCUGACAGAAUGUUCUUCCUGUUUUUUCAUCUAUAUUGCAAUAAAUAGCUUUUGAGCAAGA